GCUGCACGCGCGCUACACUGAUGCAUGCAACGAGUUUUCACCUUGUCCGAUGGGGCUGGGUAAUCUUGUGGGGGUGCAUCGUGAUGGGGAUAGAUUAUUGCAAUUGUUAGUCUUCAACGAGGAAUGCCUAGUAGGCGCAAGUCAGAAGCGUGCGCCGAUUACGUCCCUGCCUCUUGUACACACCGCCCGUCGCUGCAACCGAUCGGAGGGUCCUGUAAAUUCAUCGGACUGACCAGCCCCAACUUGGGGCUCGUCGGAAAGUUGCGUAAAUAGAGCAGGUUUCCGUAGGUGAACCUGCGGAAGGAUCAUUC
rnacentral:ncRNA from 1 species